GGGGAGACCAUUUUGCUUUCUGCUGAAGACGUGGUAAGGCAUUGGAAUUUGGGUUCUUCCCAGAGUGUGCUGGGCAUAGUGAGGAAAGAUUUCCACGAGUGAAGAAAUCAAGGCUGGGUAGCGUGGCUUGUACCAAGUUCCUCACCAUCCAAGUAGAUGCUGCCAAACAGCUCCUGUGGGAAUGACAUUUAUCACAGUGAAAUACCACAACCAACAAGCCACAUUUAGCUUGAAUGUGCUAAAAACAGGAGGGCCAGCAUUGUGACUGUGAUUGGCUGAGACAACUACAACUUGAUUGGAGAUCCAUCCACCAUAUACAUGGCACGCCCUAUAAUAGAGUCAACUGAAGUGAAUUAAGAAAGGCUCUAAACCAGAUGACAGUUGAGAAGUUACUUUCAAUUUCAACGAGUGGUCAAUCAUAGAUCAGGAGCGAGAGAAGAGGUGACUUACACAGGUGGAGACGGUGAUGUCAUUACGCACGCGGGAUAGUGGGGAGACUAUUUUUGUUUUCUGCAGAAGAAGCUGGUGGGGCUUUGGGAUUAAGUUCCUCCCAGAGAUACUGGGCAUGGUGAGGAAAGAUUUUCACGAGUGAAGGCAUCGGCGCUGGACAGUGUGGCUUGUGCAAAGUUCCUUACCGGCCAAGUAGAAACCCCCCGAUUGGCUCUGGCCGUGGUGCUGAAACUGGAAGCCCAGAAACAGCGGUCCCUAGGGACAAAAAUAUUUGACAUCGGGACUUGUAAAUUGCAGUUACAUUAUUUAUGAAGACUAAAAGGAGGAAAUGAGCCGAGUAAUUGCCAGUCAUCACUACCUCUACAUCAAGUAAUUCUACUGCUGGUUGAUGUUUAAAAUCGAGCUCAGUGCUUCGAGAUAAUGCAGCGGUUCUGAAAACUCCACUGUGCAAGUACUGUCUUCCAGUAACGGGUCGUAUUACAGCGUAUCCCGUCAGUAUCACAGCUGAUUAAUAAUCACAAAACAAAAAGCCGUAACCAACGUAUUGUCUUUUCCGGUAGCGGCCGUACAGUCAGCAGAGCAUUACAUUAAAAUAUAAAACCACCUUCGAGUAGGGGAAGCUCUAUAUUUAGCCUACAAAUUUACGAAAUAUAAGUGAAAGGUGUGCUUUUACAACAAGACACUGCUUGUGAUUUCUAUUCUGUUCCAUCUAUCUGUAGCAAUCCUCCAGUGCUUAGAGGUAAAGUUUUUCCACUUUACGUUAAAAUGUCACUUUUGGGCUAUCUCUGAUUAUACUUUCAUUUUCUAAAACUGCAGUCAUCCCUUCAUCGCCAUCCACAACUCUCCUCCCCCACCUCAUCCUCAUCACCAACCCCCAUCGCCAAUUUACAGACAAAAACUCUAUACAUCUCUGCAGUUCAAAGCACUUACGAGUUCCGUCGAAUCGUGUAGCAAUUGUAUCCAAAAAGGUGUUCUGUGGCGCAAGCAAUCCUUUCAUGACAGGCAUUUUGUGUUGGCAAU